rnacentral:lncRNA from 1 species
UCUCCUCUACAAGACCUAUAUAGUCAUUCCCCGUGACACCCCUCAUUAUUUUUCUCUAGAAGCCCUGGAAUAGGCCGACCCUCCUAAUUUUUUGACAUUUUUUUCGAUUUUGAGCUUCUAGUGUUCAAGAUUUGAAUAUAGCGCCCUUCGAGACCUGUGAAAAGAAGCGCCUGUUUCUCUCACAAGACCUAUAUAGUCCAUUCCGAACCCCUCAUUAUUUCCUAAAGAAAGCCCGGAAUAGGCCGACCCCCUAAUUUUGUUGUAAUUUUUUUCAAUUUAUGAGCGCCUAGUUAAUUUUUUAACAUACGCCUUUUGAUACCUAGCACAAAAAGAAAGUGCCUUUUUUCUCCUCUACAAACCUAUAUAGUCAACCCCGUGACACCCCAUUAUUUUCUCUAGAACUCCUGAGAAGUAGCCGACCUACCCCAUUUUUUCGAAUUUUAUGAGCUCUAGUUUUCAGAUUUUUGAUAUAGCGCCCUUCGAUACCUAGUGCAAAAUGAAGCGCCUGUCUUCUCCUCUUACAAGACCUAAUAGUCAUACCCCGGACAACCCUCAUAUUUUCCUAGGAAAGCCUUAGAAUAGCCGAACCCCCUAAUUUUUGACAUUUUUUUCAAAUUUGAGCUCUAUAGUUCAGAUUUUUGAACAUAGCGCCUUCGGAUACCUAGUGCAAAAAAGAAAGCGCCUAGUUCUCCUCUAAAAGACCUAUAUAGUAUACCCGUGACACCCGUAUUAUUUUUCCUAGAAGUCGUAUAAAUAGCCGACCAACCAAAUUUUUUGACAUUUUUUUCAAAUCUUGACUCUAGUUUCAGAUUUUUUGAACAUAGGCGCCUCGAUAACAUAGCCCAAAAAGAAAGCGUCUGUUUCUCCUUUACAAACUUUAUAUGUCAUUCACGUGGACACCCCCUCAUAUUUUUCUCUAGAGCCUGGAAGUUAGGCCGACCCCCUAAUUUUUUACAUUUUUUCGAAAUUUUUUGAGCCCUAGUUUUAGAUUUUUGAACAUAGCGCCCUUUAUACUUAGCGCAAAAGAAGUUGCCCUUUUCUCCUCUGACCAAGACCAUAUAUUAGUCACUACCCCGUUACCACCCAUUAUUUUCUCUUAGAAAUCCUGAAUAGGCGACCCACCCCCAUUUUUUUCGAAUUUUAGCUCUUAGUUUCAGAUGUUUGAAUAGUAGCGCCUUCGAUUCCUAGGUGCAAAAGAAGCGCCUGUUUCUCCUUCUACGAACCUAAGUUCAUACCCCGUGGGACACCCCUCAUUAUUCUUUCUUCUAGAAGUCUAAAUAGUCCGAACCUCCCUAAUUUUUGACAUUUUUUUUUCAAAUUUUUGAGCUCUAGUGUUCAGAUUUGAAACAUAGCGCCCUUCGAACCUACGCAAAAAAGCGCCGUUUCCCUCUAACAAGACCUAGAUAGUCAUUUCCGCGUGACACCCCCUCAUUAUUUUUCUCUAGAAGCCUAGGAAUAGGGCCGACCCCCUAAUUUUUUGACAUUUUUUCAAAUUUGAAGCCCUAUUUUAGAUUUUUGAACAUAGCGCCCUUGAUACCUAGCACAAAAGAAUGCCUUUUUCUCCUCUACAAACUAUAUUAGUCAUACCCCGUGACAACCCCCAUAUUUUCUCUAGAAUCCUGAAUAGCCGACCCUACCCCCAUUUUUUUUCGAAUUUGAGCAUCUAGUUUUUCAGAUUUUUGAAUAUUACCCUUCGAUACCUAGUGCAAAGAAGGCCUGUUUCUCCUCUACAAGAACCUAUAUAGUCAUACCCCGUGGACACCCCUCAUUAUUUUCUCUAAAGUUCCUAGAAUAGCGAACCCUAAUUUGACAUUUUUUUCAAAUUUUGAGCUCUAGUUUCAGAGUUUUAACAUAGCGCCCUUCGAACUAGUGCAAAAAGCGCCUGUCUCCCUAAAAACCCUAUUAUAGUCAUACCCCGUGACACCCCUCAUUAUUCUCUAGAAGUCCUAGAAUAGGCCGACCCCCCUAAUUUUUUGACAUUUUUUUCAAAAUUGACUCUUAGUUUCAAUUUUUGACAUAGGCGCCUUCGAACCUAGCGCAAAAAAGAAGCGUCUGUUUCUCCUUUACUAAUACAUUAUAGUCAUUCACCGUGACACCCGUCAUUAUUUCUCUAAAGGCCUGAAUAGGCCGACCCCUUAAUUUUGACAUUUUUUUCAAAAUUUGAGCCCUAGUUUUAGAUUUUUAACAUACGCCCUUUGAACCUUUAGCACAAAAGAAGUGCCUUUUUCUCUCUACAACCUUAUAUCAUACCCCGUGACACCCCCCAUAUUUUUCUCUAGAACUCCUGAAUAGGCCACCCUACCCCCAUUUUUUUCGAAUGUUUGAGCUCUAGUUUCAGAUUUUUGAAUAUUAGCGCCUUCGAUAAACCUAGUGCAAAGAAGCGCCUGUUCUCUCUACAAAGAACGUAUAGAUUUUCAUCCCGUGACACCCCUCAUUAUUUUUCUCUAGAAGUCCUAGAAUAGGCCGACUCCCCUAAUUCUUUGACAUUUUUUUCAAAUUUUGAGCUCUAGUUUCAGAUUUUUGAACAUAGCGCUCUUCGAUACCUAGUGCAAAAGGAGCGCCUGUUUCUUUUCUACAAGACCUAUAUAGUCAUACCCCGUGACACCCCUCAUUAUUUUUCUCUAGAAGUCCUAGAAUAGGCCGACCCCCCAAAUUUUUUGACAUUUUUUUCAAAUUUUGAGCUCUAGUUUCAGAUUUUUGAACAUAGUGCCCUUCGAUACCUAGCGCAAAAAAAGCGCCUGUUUCUCCUCUUCAAGACCUAUAUAGUCAUUCCCCGUGACACCCCUCAUUAUUUUUCUCUAGAAGUCCUAGAAUAGGCCGACCCCCCUAUGUUUUUGACAUUUUUUUCAAAUUUUGAGCUGUAGUUUCAGAUUGUUGAACAUAUAUAGUGCCCUUCUAUACGUAGUGCAAAAGAAGCGCCUGUUUCUCCUCUACAAGACCUAUAUAGUCAUACCCCGUGACACCCCUUAUUAUUUUUCUCUAGCAGUCCUAAAAUAGGCCGACCCCCCUAAUUUUUUGACAUUUUUUUCGAAUUUUGAGCUCUAGUUUCAGAUUUUUGAACAUAGCGCCCUUCGAUACCUAGCGCAAAAGAAGCGCCUGUUUCUCUCUACAAGACCUAUAUAGUCAUACCCCGUGACACCCCUCAUUAUUUUUCUAAGAAGUCCUAGAAUAGGCCGACCCCCCUAAUUUUUGACAUUUUUUUCAAAUUUUGAGCUCUAGUUUCAGAUUUUUGAACAUAGCGCCUUCGAAUACCUAGCGCAAAAGAAGCGCCUGUUUCUCCUCUACAAGACCUAUAUAGUCAUUCCCCGUGACCACCCUUCAUUAUUUUCUCUAGAAGCCCUGAAUAGGCCGACCCCCCUAAUUUUUUGACAUUUUUUUCAAAUUUUGAGCUCUAGUUUCAGCUUUUGAAUACAGCGCCCUUCGAUACUUAGCGCAAAAGAAGCGCCUGUUUCUCCUCUACAAGACCUAUAUAGUCAUACCCCAUGACACCCCCCAUUAUUUUUCUCUAGAACUCCUGGAAUAGGCCGACCCUACCCCCA